GACGAACGCUGGCGGCGUGCUUAACACAUGCAAGUCGAACGGAAAGGCCUUUUCGGAGGUACUCGAGUGGCGAACGGGUGAGUAACACGUGGUGAUCUGCCCUGCACUCUGGGAUAAGCCUGGGAAACUGGGUCUAAUACCGGAUAGGACCGCACUUUAGUGUGUGUGGUGGAAAGUUGUUUCGGUGUAGGAUGAGCCCGCGGCCUAUCAGCUUGUUGGUGGGGUAAUGGCCUACCAAGGCGGCGACGGGUAGCCGGACUGAGAGGUUGGUCGGCCACAUUGGGACUGAGAUACGGCCCAGACUCCUACGGGAGGCAGCAGUGGGGAAUAUUGCACAAUGGGCGCAAGCCUGAUGCAGCGACGCCGCGUGGGGGAUGACGGCCUUCGGGUUGUAAACUCCUUUCGCCAGGGACGAAGCGUUUUGUGACGGUACCUGGAGAAGAAGCACCGGCUAACUACGUG
rnacentral:rRNA from 1 species